GACGAACGCUGGCGGCGUGCCUAAUACAUGCAAGUCGAGCGCAGGAAGCCGUCUGAACCCUUCGGGGGGACGACGGUGGAAUGAGCGGCGGACGGGUGAGUAACACGUAAAGAACCUGCCCAUAGGUCUGGGAUAACCACGAGAAAUCGGGGCUAAUACCGGAUGUGUCAUCGGACCGCAUGGUCCGAUGAUGAAAGGCGCUUCGGCGUCGCCCAUGGAUGGCUUUGCGGUGCAUUAGCUAGUUGGUGGGGUAACGGCCCACCAAGGCGACGAUGCAUAGCCGACCUGAGAGGGUGAUCGGCCACACUGGGACUGAGACACGGCCCAGACUCCUACGGGAGGCAGCAGUAGGGAAUCUUCCACAAUGGACGAAAGUCUGAUGGAGCAACGCCGCGUGAACGAUGAAGGCUUUCGGGUCGUAAAGUUCUGUUGUAAGGGAAGAACAAGUGCCGCAGGCAAUGGCGGCACCUUGACGGUACCUUGCGAGAAAGCCACGGCUAACUACGUGCCAGCCGCCGCCGUAACAC
rnacentral:rRNA from 1 species